GUGUAGUGUGAUAUGCCCGUUUGGUUAUUACUCUGACGAUUUAUUUAUUAUUUAAUUGAUUUUGGGUAACGGGGUGUUACAUCUAUA
rnacentral:pre_miRNA from 1 species